GGCCAUCACUCAGUGGUAGAGCAUCUGCCUUGUAUGCAGAAAUUACCAGUUCAAUUCCUGGCAUCUCCA